UCAAUAUACGAUUUCUCCCGUUCAAGCCCUCCUUUUGCCAAGUUUCUUCACCCUGCCAGAGGGCACUAUAGAUAGAGUUUAUGCAAUACUAAAAAUAGAACCACGUCAAGUAAGUACACAAUAUAAAAAUUGAAUGUGAAAACAAUCUCAUCAGAGGAACAGUUAAAUAAGGAUUGGAAACUUCACUUCAGAAAAGUAGCGAUGUGGUCAACAAUAACGACAGCAGAACUUCUUCGAAAUCUUCGCUGCCGAUGAUUUUUCAAAUGACGUUGCCACCGUGCUCGGAACGGUCGAAGACCAACUGUUUGUACAUGGAAGUUUGGUUGCUUAUAUGCGUAUUUGACCUGGCGCGUGCUACGCGUCCACGUGUAAUGGCAUCGAGUGACGGUUCUCGAUCAAAAAAGACAAAUGCGACUUCUAAUUUAAAAAGGAAACGAGUGUUAGAAGAUCGUGAUGAAGACGGAGAUACACCUUUACAUAUCGCCGUUAUUUUAUUUGAUUCUGAUUUCGUUGAGCAGAUAUUAAAACGAUACCCAUUUUCAAACUGCAUAUACAUGCCUAAUAAACUUCUUCAGACUCCGUUGCAUCUGGCAGUAAUCACCGAUCAACCACGCGUUGUGCGAUCCCUAGUAAGCGCUGGUUCGGAUAAAGAUGCGAGGGACAAAAAUGGGGAUACCCCACUACACAUUUGUUGCAGAAAAGGAUAUGUGGAUUGUAUAAUUGCAUUGCUUGAUAAUAAUAACCUUUAUGGUACAACGGAAAGAAUAGACCUAAGCUUACUUAAUUAUGAUGGUCACUCGUGUUUGCAUUUAGCUGCUUCUAAUCACUACAUGAAUAUUGUUAUGAUUCUCCUCAAAUCUGGGGCUGAUAUAAAUAUAAAAGAAGGCAAGAAUGGAAGAACCAUUCUGCAUAAUGCUUGUGAAUGUGGAAAUACUGACAUAGUUCGUCAUUUGCUAAGCUACAGGCAGUGUGAUAUCAACGCGAAAGCUUAUGAUGGGUUGACACCCUAUGAUAUUGCAGAAGCACGACGUCACAAGGACGUUUGCUUGGUAUUGGCUGCUAAAGGAGCUACAAGUGGAAAAUACGCAAAUGAAGACGUGUGAUUUCUAUGUAUACGAAUGAAUAGUAACAAUGAAAGUGUUAGUAUGGUAAAACGUGUAUAUGCUUGGUUAAAGUGCGUGUGUUAGCUUGUCAAUGUGUGUGUGUUGUGAUAGAAAUGUUUCAUAUAACUGGACAACGAAAAGCAUAAAUGCAUUCCUCUCGGUUCA